GGAGCGCGCGCCGACAGCUGAUGAUGCGCGCGAAUGAGCCUCGGGUUGCGCGCACUGACAGCUGAAGGUUCUUCGCGAUGACGGACACUCCGAUGGCCCAUCAUCAUCAUCAGCAGCAUCAGCAUCCCUGAGCGCCGGGCAGCAGCAGCGUCCUCAUCCUCAUCCGUCCUCCAUGCAGCAGAGCCGCGCAGCUCCUGUCGCGUUUCUCGCCGUCCGUCCGCGCUCCUCCUCCGCCAUCCUCUGCGGCUGAAGCCGCUCCGCGUUCAUCCUCAGCUCGCCGUGUCCCGUCUCUCUCCUCCUGCAGGAUGCUGUCCUACACGGGGAUGCUCGCGCUGCUCCUCAUCCAAGGAAACGUGAUGCUCCCAUACGUAUCAUCUCAGAACGCUGGGUUUGUGAAGUCGCCAAUGUCAGAGAUAAAGCUCACUGGAGACGCCUUUGAGCUGUACUGUGACGUGGUCGGUAACCCCGUGCCGGAGAUCCAGUGGUGGUAUGCCGAUAUUAACAGGGCGGACUCCUUCAAGCAGCUGUGGGACGGCGCCCGCAAGCGGCGGGUGUCCAUCAACACGGCCUACGGCGCCAACGGUGUGAGCGUGCUGGCCAUCUCCCGCCUCACGCUGGAGGACGCCGGGAUCUACGAGUGCCGGGCCAGCAACGACCCACGUCGCAACGACCUGAGGCAAAACCCGGCCAUCACCUGGAUCCGAACGCAAGCCACCAUAUCCGUGUUGCAGAAGCCACGAAUCAAUGCUUCCGAUCAGGAGAUCUUGCAGCCUAAAACCGGGCAGGAGUUGCCCAUCACCCUUCAGUGUAACCUCACGAACUCACACAGCACCCACCAGGAAACCUUCUGGAUGAAGAACGGACAGGAGAUUGCCAACACAAGGACGGAGCACAAACACACGAUGUUCAAGUUGAGUAAACCGAGGGCAGAUGAUUCUGGUGAAUACAUGUGCGUUUACACCUUUAAAUCGGCUCCAAAUGCCAAUGCUUCCAUUGAGGUCAAAGCUGCUCCUGAAAUCUUGGGACACAAACGAAGUGAGAACAAAAAAGAAGGAGAAAAUGCGACGCUGCACUGCAAGUCUGUUGGAUUCCCGCAUCCUAUGUGGACGUGGAGAAAGAAAGUGGGCCGAGGGUCUUACAUCGACAUUGACAACAGCACUGGCCGAUUCUUCAUCACCAACAAAGAUAAUUUCACGCAACUGAGUAUCGUCAGCCUGGACAUCAGCACAGACCCGGGCGAGUACGUCUGCAACGCCUCAAACAUCAUCGGGUCCAAAGAGUCCAUGACCAUCCUGCGGGUGCGGAGCCAUCUCGCCCCGCUCUGGCCUUUUCUGGGCGUCCUGGCCGAGAUCAUCAUCCUCGUGGUCAUUAUCGUGGUUUACGAGAAGCGCAAGAGGCCGGACGAGGUUCCUGAUGGGGAAGAGCAGGAGAGGACGAGGAAUCAUGCCGGUAAGCGGCGAGUCAGUCAGUCUAAACAGGCUUCGUUCUGAACAUGUUUUGGCUGCGAGUGUGACAGUCUCUAAAGGGAUGCAGUCAGGCAUAGCUUCAUGCUAAUUUGACCUUUGCAGAACCACAGAAGGGUAUCUCAGAGCCAGGGGUGGUCAGCCGCUACCCUUUAAAAUGUGCUGCGAGAUGCACCGCGUUCUAGUGACUGACAACACAUGACUUAUAAUCUCUCAGUAAAACUAUUGUACUCAGCUUAACUCGAGCUAGAACUCAAGAUACGUCUGUAUUAUUUUGUGUCAUUGCAGUUUUAAUCAGAUCCAACAUCCACCCUCUAAAUGUUUGUUUACAUGUGUAGCAGUAAAUUGCACAGGAUGCACAGGGAUUUCCGAUGUACAAACUCUGCUGCAAUAGCAAUAGAAAAGAAGGAACGUACUUGUAUAAACAUUCCUGGUCUUAAUGGAGCGAUUCAUCCGCACAUGUUUUCAUGAUCUUUCAUCAAAAUAUGUGUUAACCAAGAGUCAAAUAGCUAUUUAGUCAUUGUUUAGGCAGGUAACAUUGUUCAUGUAUGAAAUGUUAUAGCGAAUAAUGAUAGAUUUUGAAGUCUAUUCUAUUGGGAUACUGCGACGGUUUCUGUGGGGAAAUUUUCUUUUCUGGUUGAACUGGGCUGUGAAUGUUGUUUCAUGUUGGCAUGUAGUUGUGAGCUGAUGAACACUAUUUGUCAGAUGAGCUCUGAAUGCUAAAGCAGCGCUGGUGCUGUUCGUAGGCCAACAAACAGGACUGAAACAAAGGAGUUUUGCGUGUUCAUAUUAAAAUAUGCUCCCAGGGCAGUAAUUUAAUACCCCUGAUGCUCAAACUGAAUGAAAGUGUUUAAUUUGUGAGUCACUGCCUGAAAGUCACAACAGAAUCUAUUUUUUUCUUCUUACUAUAAUGGCUUCAAGUAAAUAAUGGGUGCAACUUUGUUUUUUCCUUCUCCAUGUGGCAUCAUAUUCUUUAUUGUUGAUGAUGAACCAGCUGCACCGAUAAAAACAAACUCCACGAACAACCACAAAGUCAAAAACGUACGACAGCGGAACACCAACUGAGCCAACGGACCAACGUAGAAGAACGCUGAAGACGACCAACUGCAUAUCCUGACCAUACGGACGUAUCCAAGGAGAGGAGACGCUCCUGGCGGUUUUCAGCGGCGCACAUCCUGCCUCACGUGGUGAAGAAAACAACAAUAACGACAGCAUUACACUGGCAGAAACGAACAAUAAAGACUGUCUUAAGUUUGCCUUAUUCAGGCUCAUGAUCUGUGUGAAUGUGGACGCUGACUGAAUCAUUCUGACGGUGGUGAUGAUGAUGAUUUUACUACAUGUGCUGUUAACGUUGCAUUUCUUUCUUUUAUCAUGCCCUCCUGCUGCACUAAUUCUUUUUCAUAUCUACAUGUUGUCUCGAAUGCAUGCAAUAACAUAAUCUAAUAAGAUUCAGAUAUCGUUUUUCUAUUGUUACUUUAAAUGGCGUUGCAUCCAAAUGAAUAACUUGUGUGUGUGUGUGUGUGUGUGUGUGUGCGAGAGCAUAUCAGAGUGUGUGUGUGUGUUUUUAAAGAAAUUUAAAUGGAUAAAAAAGUAAGGAAUCACCGAGAUCUUUGUACAGUUUAUCAUCCAAUAAUAAAAGGAGGUGUUUUGUCUUAAACUAGAAUGCAAGAACCUUUGUGAGUGGCAGAACAGUAUUUAAUCUUAAAAAGCUGAUAUUGUAUUAAAUGAAAUGGAUACAUGUAAUAACAUUUAUUUUCUAGAGUUAUUUAGACGUCUUGUAAAUGUGGUGCUGUAAGUGUUCAAAUAUUACGAUAGCAUCUGUAAAAAGAAAAAGAAUAUAUCUUUUUUUUUUUUUAAAUGUCGUUUCUUUAUAGAGAAAAGAUGAUUCUUGUACAGCAUGGCUAUAAUCCUAUGCAAUAUGUAUUCAUAUAGACCUACUGACAAUUGUAAGGUGGGGCGGGUUUGUUUAAUUUCAGAGAAUAAAAAAGCUUUAAUGGGACAGAGAGAUAAGGGUGCUUCGCAUUUGAAAUGCACUGCUGUAGUUGCAUGACAACUCCUGAUCAAUACAGUGUGCGUCACCAUAACAAUGGACCAACAUACAAGGGAGGAAGUGGGUGGAGCUAAAGCCAUUACAAACUAUGUGAAACCAAUUCUUUCCUUUUUCAGAAUAAAGGUUCCAAGAAUA